UACGGAGGGGGCUAGCGUUGCUCGGAAUCACUGGGCGUAAAGCGCACGUAGGCGGAUUGUUAAGUCAGGGGUGAAAUCCUGGAGCUCAACUCCAGAACUGCCUUUGAUACUGGCGAUCUCGAGUCCGGGAGAGGUGAGUGGAACUGCGAGUGUAGAGGUGAAAUUCGUAGAUAUUCGCAAGAACACCAGUGGCGAAGGCGGCUCACUGGCCCGGUACUGACGCUGAGGUGCGAAAGCGUGGGGAGCAAACAGG
rnacentral:rRNA from 1 species